AUUGAACGCUGGCGGCAUGCCUAACACAUGCAAGUCGAACGAGUGGCGGACGGGUGAGUAAUGUCUGUGAAACUGCUUUAUGGAGGGGGAUAACUACUGGAAACGGUAGUUAAUCCCGCAUACCAUCAGCUGUGCCCAGAUGGGAUUAGCUUGUUGGUGGGGUAACGGCUCACCAAGGCGACGAUCCCUAGCUGGUCUGAGAGGAUGACCGGCCACACUGGAACUGAGACACGGUCCAGACUCCUACGGGAGGCAGCAGUGGGGAAUAUUGCUCAAUGGGCGCAAGCCUGACGGAGCCAUGCCGCGUGUAUGAAGAAGGCCUUCGGAUUGUAAAGUACUGUCAGCGGGGAGGCGGUACCCGAAGAAGAAGCAACGGCUAACUCCGUGCCAGCAGCCGCGGUAAUAC
rnacentral:rRNA from 1 species